rnacentral:snoRNA from 1 species
GCAUGGGUUUGGAUUUAUGACAGACCCGCCCCCCUGGGCCUGUCAUAGUAACCCAUGCCAGAGCAAACUGUGUCCCCAAACCAUUGCCUGGCCUCUGUGCCCGUAGGCUGCUGGCACUGAAGUGGCUUGCACAGUG